GACGAACGCUGGCGGCGUGCUUAACACAUGCAAGUCGAACGGAAAGGCCCUGCUUUUGUGGGGUGCACGAGUGGCGAACGGGUGAGUAACACGUGAGUAACCUGCCCUUGACUUUGGGAUAACUUCAGGAAACUGGGGCUAAUACCGGAUAGGAGCUCCUGCUGCAUGGUGGGGGUUGGAAAGUUUCGGCGGUUGGGGAUGGACUCGCGGCUUAUCAGCUUGUUGGUGGGGUAGUGGCUUACCAAGGCUUUGACGGGUAGCCGGCCUGAGAGGGUGACCGGCCACCUUGGGCCUGAGAUGCGGCCCCUACUCCUACGGGAGGCAGCAGUGGGGAAUAUUGCACAAUGGGCGGAAGCCUGAUGCAGCAACGCCGCGUGCGGUAUGACGGCCUUCGGGUUGUAAACCGCUUUCGCCUGUGCCGAAGCGUGAGUGACGGUAAUGGGUAAAGAAGCACCGGCUAACUACGUG
rnacentral:rRNA from 1 species